AAGUAAUGUUGCAACGUCCAAGUACUGUUCAGUACCACGCGCAGCUCACGCGCAUGCCACCACUGGGCCGUCACAUCGGGCGCCUCCCACCACUUCUCCCACCAACGAAUCAAUAUCACAAAGGCUGCCUGUCGCGCGGGCCUAGAACGCGCGAGCGGGUUGUUGUUAACGGUUGUGUCUCAACGACUUCGUUUAGAAAUUGAUUGAUAGUUAUGCCUAAAAGAAAGUCAAAUCUAUCUAAAAUCAUGAGAAAGGCCAAAAGCCAAAGAUUGCGACGUGAAAAUGAAUCUGUACAAGAUAGGGAAAGACGUCUUAAAAAUUGUAGAUUACGGAUGUCCAUGUCUAGGUCGAAGGAGAGUAGUUCUAAGAGGAAUGAACGAUUACAAUUAGACAGAACGCGUCAUUCAUUGUUAAGGGCUCAAAAAUCUUUGAAAAAUCGAGAACACCGUCUAGAAAACGAUCGUAUUCAACACGUUCAACAUUAUAUAAAAACUGAGAUAGAAGCGAAUGACGAAAAUAUUAUAAGACAAUGUCAAUUAAUUAAAGAGGAGCCUCUUAUAAAUAAUGAAGAUUGGGAUGAAAAACAACCUGGAGCGGGUGAAAAUGUAUUGAAGUUUGAAUGUACUGAAUCUGGAUUGCAAGGAACUGAUGGAGAAACUGUCGCAACUUGCCCAAGGUAUUGAUGAAGCUCCACCUACAACUUGCACUAAACUGUUAAAAAGUUGCAGGUGCAAAAAAAGCUAAAAAAAGAAUUAAAAAAAAUAAAUUUAGAAACUCUGAGAU